rnacentral:rRNA from 1 species
GACGAACGCUGGCGGCGUGCCUAAUACAUGCAAGUAGAACGCUGAAGGAGGAGCUUGCUUCUCUGGAUGAGUUGCGAACGGGUGAGUAACGCGUAGGUAACCUGCCUGGUAGCGGGGGAUAACUAUUGGAAACGAUAGCUAAUACCGCAUAAGAGUAGAUGUUGCAUGACAUUUGCUUAAAAGGUGCAAUUGCAUCACUACCAGAUGGACCUGCGUUGUAUUAGCUAGUUGGUGGGGUAACGGCUCACCAAGGCGACGAUACAUAGCCGACCUGAGAGGGUGAUCGGCCACACUGGGACUGAGACACGGCCCAGACUCCUACGGGAGGCAGCAGUAGGGAAUCUUCGGCAAUGGACGGAAGUCUGACCGAGCAACGCCGCGUGAGUGAAGAAGGUUUUCGGAUCGUAAAGCUCUGUUGUAAGAGAAGAACGAGUGUGAGAGUGGAAAGUUCACACUGUGACGGUAUCUUACCAGAAAGGUACGGCUAACUACGUG